GUAUAGACCCGAAACCCGGUGAUCUAGCCAUGGGCAGGUUGAAGGUUGGGUAACACUAACUGGAGGACCGAACCGACUAAUGUUGAAAAAUUAGCGGAUGACCUGUGGCUGGGGGUGAAAGGCCAAUCAAACCGGGAGAUAGCUGGUUCUCCCCGAAAGCUAUUUAGGUAGCGCCUCGUGAAUUCAUCUCCGGGGGUAGAGCACUGUUUCGGCUAGGGGGCCAUCCCGGCUUACCAACCCGAUGCAAACUGCGAAUACCGGAGAAUGUUAUCACGGGAGACACACGGCGGGUGCUAACGUCCGUCGUGAAGAGGGAAACAACCCAGACCGCCAGCUAAGGUCCCAAAGUCAUGGUUAAGUGGGAAACGAUGUGGGAAGGCCCAGACAGCCAGGAUGUUGGCUUAGAAGCAGCCAUCAUUUAAAGAAAGCGUAAUAGCUCACUGGUCGAGUCGGCCUGCGCGGAAGAUGUAACGGGGCUAAACCAU
rnacentral:rRNA from 2 species